rnacentral:rRNA from 1 species
CAUGCAGUCGGACGGUAUACAGGUCUUCGGACCUGUAGAGAGUGGCGAACGGGUGAGUAACGCGUAGGUGAUCUACCUUCAGGUGGGGGACAACCCAGGGAAACUUGGGCUAAUACCGCAUGUGGCAGCGAUGCUAAAGCCGGCCUCUAUUUAUAAGCUGGUGCCUGGAGCUGAGCCUGCGUCUGAUUAGCUAGUUGGUGGGGUAACGGCCUACCGAGGCGAUGAUAAGUAGGCGGCUUUAACGAGUGGUCGCCCACACUGGGAUUGAGAUACGGCCCAGACUCCUACGGGAGGCAGCAGUCGAGGAUAGUCUACAAUGGUCGAGAGACUGAUAGUGCGACGCCGCGUGGACGAAGAAGCAUUUCGGUGUGUAAAGUUCUUUUCUAUGGGAGCAGCGCAUAGCUGGUGAACAGUCAUUUAUGCGGGAUAUUACUAUAGGAAUAAGCCACGGCUAACUCCGUGCCAGCAGCCGCGGUAAUACGGGGGUGGCGAGCGUUGUCCGGAAUUACUAGGCGUAAAGGGCAGGUAGGCGGUUGUAUAAGUUAAUUGUUAAAUACCCAUGCUCACCACGGGAGGAGCAGUUGAUACUGUAUAACUGGAAGCGAGUGGGGGAAGACGGAAUUCCCGGUGUAGCGGUGGAAUGCGCAGAGAUCGGGAGGAACACCAAAGGCGGAGGCAGUCUUCUACGCUUGUCUUGACGCUAAACUGCGAAGGUGCGGGUAUCAAACAGGAUUAGAUACCCUGGUAGUCCGCACAGUAAACGAUAAUCACUAGGUGUCGGUGGGAUAGACCUGUCGGUGCCGCAGCUAACGCGGUAAGUGAUUCGCCUGGGGAGUACGAUCGCAAGGUUGAAACUCAAAGGAAUUGACGGGGGCCCGCA